AAGUCGUAACAAGGUUUCCGUAGGUGAACCUGCGGAAGGAUCAUUAACAAUGUGAUUUUCAAUCAUCCCACACCUAACCCACAUACCAACCCGCCGUGGGUCUUGCACUAGUCGUGCAUUGGAAAGCCCACGGCCUGUCGCUGGCAUCGACGCGGUCGUCAGGCCGCGCCGAGUAAGUCCGACGACACCCGGCGGACACACGCUUGCGUGACCGGCAUCGUUACGCACUCACACCCUCGACAUCGGUUGUUGGUUCCUGGUGCUAGCUCGGGCGAUGCACUAGCGCAAUGGCAUAGGCGCGCUCCUAGUAAGCCCAACAGUGUGUUCGGCGGUAAAACAUCCCAAUGUUUUUCAAUAGACCUCUGACGACUUGCGAUGCGAAAGCAGCGCGACAAACCAAUACAACUUUUAACAAUGGAUCUCUUGGCUCUU
rnacentral:misc_RNA from 1 species